AAAUUGCAAAUGAUGAGAUCAUAGUUCAGUUGAUGAAACUGUGAUGAAUAAUCUUUCGCUCCUAUCUGAUGCAAUUA